GGGGCUGACCGGCAUUGACAGCAUCGUUCUUUGUAUGUAAGCAUGUAGAGCAUUGUGAGGCAAGCUCUUUAAUAUCUAUCUCACGACGCCAUAAUUGGCAACACUUCUUACAGAAUGGCUGCCUAAUCGCAGAGCGUUUACGCGCCUUCAGUUCCUUGCAGAUUUUAUCCCGUAAGCUGCAAUCGAACUUCGAAAACGGGAUUGGCUUAACUUUUAUCUUUUUAGGUUAAGCGAGAUUCAAUGAAAGAUAAGUUGAUAGUUCGGUUGCACUGCACCAGCUUUCAAUCGAAAAUAAAGCAGCGAUAAACAUGUAGAAAGCUUACGAAAGCUUUGUCUGGACCAGGGUUCAACUCCCUGCAGCUCCACUA
rnacentral:tmRNA from 1 species